rnacentral:lncRNA from 1 species
CCAAACUUUAGAUUUCUUUGGUUUUCAUUAAAGCCUGGCAAAAAUAUAACCUUAUCACAUAUAAUUAAAUACUGUUAGAAAUAUGAAAACAGUCGAAUGUCUUAAUACUUUUUUUUCGAGUUGCCUUUUUUCAAUUGAAGAUUCAAUUGUUAUUUUUUUUUUAUUAAAAAUACACUCUUUAAUACAUUGUCUUAUAAAUCUUUAAUAUCUACAUUUUUCUAAUGAAAAUACUCUACUCAUGAAAACAUUCUAGUCAACAUGGUCAAGAAGCAUACAUGUCUGAAUAUAUUUCUUUAAAACAGUUCUAGUCAUAAUGACAUUCCUUGUUUAUAAGUGUUCCAGUAUUUAAUAAUUAU